CUACGGGACGCUCCAGUGGGGAAUAUUGCACAAUGGAGGAAACUCUGAUGCAGCAACGCCGCGUGGAGGAUGACACUUUUCGGAGCGUAAACUCCUUUUAUAUAGGAAGAUAAUGACGGUACUAUAUGAAUAAGCACCGGCUAACUCCGUGCCAGCAGCCGCGGUAAUACGGAGGGUGCAAGCGUUACUCGGAAUCACUGGGCGUAAAGAGCGUGUAGGCGGGUUAAUAAGUCAGAAGUGAAAUCCUAUGGCUCGACCAUAGAACUGCUUUUGAAACUGUUAACCUAGAAUAUGGGAGAGGUAGAUGGAAUUUCUGGUGUAGGGGUAAAAUCCGUAGAGAUCAGAAGGAAUACCGAUUGCGAAGGCGAUCUACUGGAACAUUAUUGACGCUGAGACGCGAAAGCGUGGGGAGCAAACAGGAUUAGAUACCCGUGUAGUC
rnacentral:rRNA from 1 species